CGGUCGUUUUCCUUCCCGUCCCGGGCCGGACCCGGGCCGGCCGACGGGUGGAGUAACAACGUAUGCGAACCUACGCCCCUCGUCCAGGGGGACGAACCCGCCGAAAGGCGGGCUAAACCCGCGUACAUGCCACCGGGGCAUCCCGGAGGCAGGAAAGGCUUCGGCCGGACAGGGAUGGGCAUGCGGCGCAUUAGGCAGUAGGCGGGGUAACGGCCCACCUAACCGACGAUGCGUAGGGGUUCUGAGAGGAAGGUCCCCCACACUGGUACUGAGACACGGACCAGACUCCUACGGGAGGCAGCAG
rnacentral:rRNA from 1 species